GUCUGUGUUCUGCAUCUCAGAGUAGAGUGAGGGAAGAUACUGCCUUUCCCUUAAACUUCCAAGGUAGGAGGAAAACACCUUGAGAUGGAGAUUUACAUGCAGAGUUUAGAGUGGAACGUUCUGAACAGGUCUGGUAAGAGGAACAAAGAGACGAAGACUGAACAGAGGAGGAAACUGAUCAGGGAAGCAGUUUCAACAAAGACUCCAGCCAAUCACAGGGGACACAGUGGCACUGUGGAACUGUCUUGAAAUGAGGGCUUCUGAACAGAAGAUAUGUAAGAACCACCA